rnacentral:rRNA from 1 species
UUCUCCGCCCUUGACGUCCGCACCGAGCCCCUCUCCCUCGACCAUCUCUUCGCCCUCAUGUCCAACUUCGAUCAGAGGGUCGAACUAUUCUAGGGCGCUGAUGGCAACUUCAAAUCGUCCGCUAAUGCCGCUACUCGUGGUGGCCGUGGUCCACCCAAGGGCUACCGUGGCAAACCGCGAAGUAACUGGUGGAUCGCGCGACGGCGGUGGCGCUGGUUAUAA